GACUCCCUGUUUUCCUGUGUAUUUUUUUCACAACUCCCAAUAGUGCUGGCUGGGACCAGCGCAUCCAUUCAGGUGGCAUCGUAUUUAACCCAGGAGAACAGCUGAAGAGGUAGAAAGUUCUGGCAAAUAUCCAAAAUGUGGCUCUUGUUUUAAUCCUAGGUUGAAGAGAGGAUUGUCCCCAUGGGAAGGGGCAAGCGUGGCUCCCCCGUUAGCCCGAGUGAGUGCUUCCCUGCUUUUGCCAGUGUUGGCUCCAGUAUGUGGACAGGACUUCCUGUUGUAGCUCUUCAUCUCAACACAUCCACAGGGCAGCAAAUGUUCUGAAGCCGUCUUUUGGAAUUGUAUCUAAAAUAUUUCCUCCUGAAAGACACAGGGCAAGACUCCUCUGAAAAGCACCAGAGCAAAAAGAUGUUGGAAAGAGUUCAGCAAUCCUAUUGGCAGUGUUUGCAAUCAGGUGCCAGAUGGUGGUGCUCCUGACUCCGCAUUACUUAGAGGCGCGAGCUGCCUGAGAGGAGUUACAGAUGCAGUGUGCGUACCAAAACUGAUUUUGCAGGGAGGGCUAAGAGACGUCUCUGCAAUGAAGGUGAAUCAUACAGUGGGAUGGGGGAUGCACUUUUCUCCCAGGAUUCAGCUACUAAGCCUGAUAUCGAAAGAGCUGAAUAACGGCAGCUGAGAAAAAUUCUCAGGAUUUUGCUUGUAUGCGCACGCGCGCACACACACACACUCUCACACUCUCACACUCAAAUUUUACCUUUUUUACACUUUAAUUACUGUGAGUUUUGCAUGUCAACUUUGUUUCAAAAGCUAUAGCUCCUUCCUGUUUUCUGUUUUUAUCAGUAGAAGGCUGAUGCAGGCACUAAUCUCAGUAUCCUCCUGGGGAACAAGGCAAGCAUGCUUCUCUUGGCCUGCAGUGGACACGCCAUGCGUAGGACUUACGGCCCAACUUUUGCUCUUUCUGGGCAGUUUCCUUCUCCCACCACUAAGAGCAACACCAUACUGGUGUGUACUGGAAGAAAGGCAAUUGAUUAAUGAAAUUGAAUCUACAGAAAUACUUCUUUACAAUAAGCUGGAAUUGUUUCACUUUGACUUUCUUAGCACUAAUAUGAGAAAACAGAGGAGUUCUUAGGACUUUACAGUAGUUUGGUCUAACUGGCCUCCCAUGGGCAGGCUAUAGCCUCUGCGACCUGUCCGUCUGGCUCACAUCUUUCAUUUGGAGGGGCCGAAGAGCAGCUCUUUGUGCAGACAGCUGAGUGCUGUAUCUGCGAGUGAGCUGGCCUUGCCGCUGCCCGGGCACACGAGGAGCGAGGCCAUGGGAAGGGGGAAGCACUGGGAGGACGGGCUGGUGCAGGAGCAGGAGCCGCCUCUGUGACCCCAAGCAGGAUCCCCAAACUGGAAGGCGGCCGGAAGUGGUACUGGCUUGAUUUCCAAUAAAAGAGCCGUCUUUCACUUAAGAAAAACUCCAAAUCAGAGUAGACAACAUCUUCACCUUUAUCAGACUUACAGCUUACUGAAAUCAACAGAAAUGGCUUUGUGUACUUUGAAACUGGCCUUGUGAACUGUAGCAUACUGCCAGUUAAAGUGUAGCCUUAUGCAUUUAGGAGUUCAGUCCUCUUCCCACUGUGGGUUUUUGACAGCUUUGCUGAAAAUUGGAUCAGGCAUUUAGAUAUUUAUAAUUCUUUCUUUUAAAUCAUGGGAAGCCAUCUUUUUAAUUAAUACUCACCAAAACAAUUGAAUGCAUGACCUACAAGGAUAAUUACUUGUAACUUUGCUUUAAUUGUUUUAUAAAAGUUUCAUUGCAUUUAUACAGCGUACUGCACAGAUACGUGAUCUAAAAGUGGAGCUCUGAUCAAGUCUAUUUAUAUAGGAACGUGUAAGCCUUUAGGCGAGAUAAACAUGUUGUCAGUAUAAGCACCUUAUUCUGUAAGGACUUCUUAUUAGCAUAACCUUUUAAAUGUUUGUCUUUGCUGUCUUUGCAUGGCUUUGCAUUGUUUGUCAUGUAUGUAAAUCUUCUAUAAUGCCAUAAACUGCCUACUGGAGAAAAUGUC